GGACGGUGACGAUUUCAGCAUGAAAGGUCUCGUUCGUCGUAAUUGGCCAACAGGCCUUGACGACCAUCCUGCUAUAUCACCACCCAUAUUCCGAGUCC
rnacentral:snoRNA from 1 species